rnacentral:rRNA from 1 species
AACGCUGGCGGCGUGGAUAAGACAUGCAAGUCGAGCGCUGAUUACAGGGUAGCAAUAUUCUGUGGUCGGAGCGGCGCAAGGGUGCGUAACACGUGGGUAAUCUGCCAUGAAGUUUGGAAUAACUUGCUGAAAGGCGAGCUAAUGCCGGAUGUGAAAGCUGGGAGGCAUCUCCUGGUUUUUAAAGCUGGGGACCGUAAGGCCUGGCGCUUCAUGAUGAGCCCGCGGCCUAUCAGCUAGUUGGUAAGGUAACGGCUUACCAAGGCUAAGACGGGUAGCUGGUCUUAGAGGACGACCAGCCACACUGGAACUGAGACACGGUCCAGACACCUACGGGUGGCAGCAGUCGAGAAUUUUUCACAAUGGGCGCAAGCCUGAUGGAGCGACGCCGCGUGGGGGAUGAAUGGCUUCGGCCCGUAAACCCCUGUCAUUUGCGAUCAACCGUUGUUGUUUAAGAGAUGACAACCUGAUAGUAGCGAAAGAGGAAGGGACGGCUAACUCUGUGCCAGCAGCCGCGGUAAUACAGAGGUCCCAAGCGUUGUUCGGAUUCACUGGGCGUAAAGGGUGCGUAGGUGGCGGGGUAAGUCGGAUGUGAAAUCUCCGAGCUCAACUCGGAAAUGGCAUUGGAAACUGCUCUGCUCGAGGGUUGGAGGGGGGACUGGAAUACUUGGUGUAGCAGUGAAAUGCGUAGAUAUCAAGUGGAACACCAGUGGCGAAGGCGAGUCCCUGGACAACUCCUGACACUGAGGCACGAAAGCUAGGGGAGCAAACAGGAUUAGAUACCCUGGUAGUCCUAGCCGUAAACGGUGCACGUUUGCUGUAAAAGGAAUCGACCCCUUUUGUGGCGUAGCCAACGCGUUAAACGUGCCGCCUGGGAAGUACGGUCGCAAGAUUAAAACUC